rnacentral:rRNA from 1 species
CGGCGAACGGGUGAGUAACACGUGAGUAAUCUGCCCUCGGCACCGGGAUAGCCCGGGGAAACCCGGAUUAAUACCGGAUGGCCCACCAGCCCCUCGGGGCGGUUGGAAAAGGUAGCUUCGGCCUCCGGCCGAGGAGGAGCUCGCGGCGGAUUAGCUUGUUGGCGGGUAACGGCCCACCAAGGCGACGAUCCGUAGCUGGUCUGAGAGGACGAUCAGCCACACUGGGACUGAGACACGGCCCAG